rnacentral:misc_RNA from 1 species
GUCGAAUAGCACAGAAGAAGCAAGUGCCAAGUGUGGAGGAAGGGAGUUUGAUGUAUUUUCAAUGUGGUUUUUUUUUUCCUCGGCAGCCAAACAGGGAAAGGAAAAAUUUAAAGAAGACAAAAAUCUUGGGAGUGCCGAUAUAAACCUAGAAUUUGCGAAAGAGUCUUAAAUUCUAUUCGAGGAUAGUUUUGUUUUGUGUUCUGAGAAAUCUGAGUUUAUGCUCUGUUUUUUUGUUCUUUCUGUAAAGAGG